rnacentral:rRNA from 1 species
UACGUAGGGACCAAGCGUUGUUCGGAUUUACUGGGCGUAAAGGGCGCGUAGGCGGCGUGUCAAGUCAGGCGUGAAAGCCCCGGGCUCAACCUGGGAACCGCGCUUGGGACUGGCAUGCUCGAGUUCGGGAGAGGAUGGUGGAAUUCCCAGUGUAGAGGUGAAAUUCGUAGAUAUUGGGAAGAACACCGAUGGCGAAGGCAGCCAUCUGGACCGACACUGACGCUGAGGCGCGAAAGCGUGGGGAGCAAACAGG